GCUGUUGUGGAUGACAGAAUGAGGUUUGCUUAUGUAAUUUUUUUAGCCCGUUCACAACACUUGUACAAGUUUCAUCAACUGCCAUUAUAGCUUGUACAAGUGCUAGUUUCACGAAACAUACUGAUUUGACCCAUAAAUUCACAUAGGGAACACUUUGCAGGUUCCGCAACAUCUAUUGUGCACUACCAGGGUCCGCUCAUGAUGCCUCUGUGCUGAAGUCCUCAAGGCUGUACACAGACAACAGUCAACUUAUUCCACAAGUGCACAGAGAUGUCAGAGGAACUCUGGUUCCAUACGUGAUACUUGGGGACCCGGCAUACCCCUUGUUGCCCUGGCUAAUAAAGCCGUUUCCCCAGAGUGGAAGGCUGACGGCAGAGCAGGAACUGUUCAACGAGCGCCUGAGUGCAGGCAGGGUUAUUGUAGAACAUGCCUUUGGACAGCUGAAGAGCAGGUGGCGCUGCGUUAUGAAGCGCACAGACAUCAACUACAAGUUUGUACCAACACUUGUAGCAGCAGUCAGUGUGCUGCAUAACAUUUGUGAGGACAGCAAUGAGGGCAUCAACCCAAGCUGGGUUGCAGACAUGCAGGACUUAGAACGCACCUUCCCUCAGCCAACACGCCAGUCCCAGGCAGAUGGAGGCAAUGCAGCCGUGCAGGAUGCCCUGUGUGCCUACACAGCAGCCCAUCUGCUUUAAGGAGCUCGCAUUGACGCCUGUGUGCCUCCUCCGUUCGCAGUGCUGCUGCUCUUUCCGCUCUUUCUGCUGAGGACUUCAUUAUCCUCUCUAGACCAUCCAGGAAGGUGUCUUUCCUGCUGCGCUUCCUGGGACGCUCCUGCAGUUGAGGACGGCCUCAAGACGACAGCAAACGUUAUGUAAUGCAGAAGCAGUAUGCAACAUUUUUCAUGAUGAACUGUGAAACACAAAGCGUCAGAUGCCUUACCGUCACCAGUAGGCGAUGUCGUCAUGUUGGCUUCCUCUUCGAAGUCAUCUUCCACAUUUGUGGCACCAGCAGAAAAUUCUGCACUCGUGUUUGGCUCUGAGGUGAAAAAUUAAACAUUUCAUACCAUGGC